UACGAAGGGGGCUAGCGUUGUUCGGAAUCACUGGGCGUAAAGCGCACGUAGGCGGAUCGUUAAGUCGAGGGUGAAAUCCCAGGGCUCAACCCUGGAACUGCCUUCGAUACUGGCGAUCUUCGAGUCCGGGAGAGGUGAGUGGAACUCCGAGUGUAGAGGUGAAAUUCGUAGAUAUUCGGAAGAACACCAGUGGCGAAGGCGACACACUGGCCCGUUACUGACGCUGAGGCGCGAAAGCGUGGGGAGCAAACAGG
rnacentral:rRNA from 1 species